UACCUGCAGCUCAAGUGGUGACCGCUAUUAUUGGGCCUAAAACGUUCGUAGCCGGUUUAGUAAAUGCCUGGGUAAAUCGUGUAGCUUAACUAUACGAAUUCCGGGUAGACUGCUAAACUUGAGACCGGGAGAGGCUAGAGGUACUUCUAGGGUAGAGGUGAAAUUCUGUAAUCCUAGGGGGACCACCAGUGGCGAAGGCGUCUAGCUAGAACGGGUCUGACGGUGAGGGACGAAGCCCUGGGGCGCAAACCGGAUUAGAUACCCGGGUAGUCCAGGGUGUAAACGCUGCUUGCUUGAUGUUAGUCGGGCUCCGAGCCCGAUUAGUGUCGGAGAGAAGUUGUUAAGCAAGCUGCCUGGGAAGUACGGUCACAAGACUGAAACUUAAAGGAAUUGGCGGGGAGCACAGCAACGGGUGGAGCGUGCGGUUU
rnacentral:rRNA from 1 species